rnacentral:misc_RNA from 1 species
GAUGAAGAACGUAGCGAAAUGCGAUAAGUAAUGUGAAUUGCAGAAUUCAGUGAAUCAUCGAAUCUUUGAACGCACAUUGCGCCCGCCAGUAUUCUGGCGGGCAUGCCUGUUCGAGCGUCAUUACAACCCUCAGGCCCCCGGGCCUGGCGUUGGGGAUCGGCGGAAGCCCCCUGUGGGCACACGCCGUCCCUCAAAUACAGUGGCGGUCCCGCCGCAGCUUCCAUUGCGUAGUAGCUAACACCUCGCAACUGGAGAGCAGCGCGGCCAUGCCGUAAAACACCCAACUUCUGAAUGUUGACCUCGAAUCAGGUAGGAAUACCCGCUGAACUUAAGCAUAUCAAUAAGCGGAGGA